rnacentral:rRNA from 1 species
GAGAUAGCUGGUUCUCCCCGAAAUAGCUUUAGGGCUAGCCUCAGGGAAAAGAUUGCAGGCGGUAGAGCACUGAUCAGGAGAGGGACCUACCCGGUUACCAAACCCAGUCAAACUCCGAAUGGCUGCAAUCAUACCUGGGAGUCAGACUGCGACUAAUAAGGGCCGCAGUCAAAAGGGAAACAGCCCAGACCAUCAGCUAAGGUCCCCAAUGCCGUGCUAAGUGGCGAAGGAUGUGGCAUUUCAUAAACAACCAGGAUGUUGGCUCAGAAGCAGCCACCAUUUAAAGAGUGCGUAAUAGCUCACUGGUCGAGAGACGCUGCGCCGAAAAUGUCCGGGGCUCAAGCACGGAACCGAAGCUAUGGCAUGAUAGCAAUAUCAUGGGUAGGGGAGCGUUCUUAUAAGGAAGAAGCAUGACCGGAAGGACAUGUGGACGAAUAAGAAGUGAGAAUGCCGGUAUGAGUAUCGAAAAGAAAGGUGAGAAUCCUUUCCACCGAAAGCCCGAGGGUUCCUGAGCAACGAUCGUCGACUCAGGGUAAGUCGGGACCUAAGCCGAGGCGAGAAGCGUAGGCGAUGGACAACAGGUUGAAAUUCCUGUACCGGAUCAAGUCGAUCGAGCGAAGGAGCGACGCAGGAGGGCACAUGAUCGCGCGGCUGGAAGAGCGCGUCCAAGUGCGUAUGUUGCAGCAGAGGAAAACCCCUGCAGCUAAAAGCAGAGACAUGAUGGGGAGUUAAAGGAAACUUUGACGAACUCAUGGAUCCCACACUGCCAAGAAAAACUUCUAGCGAGACAAGAUCCGCCCGUACCGUAAACCGACACAGGUAGGCGGGGAGAGAAUCCUAAGGUGCGCGGGAAAACCCUCGUUAAGGAACUCGGCAAAUUGCAUCCGUAACCUAGGGAGAAGGAUGGCCCCCGGUCAGUGAAGAGCAGAAACGCUCAGAGCUAAAAGGGGCGGCAGAAAAGAGGCCCAAGCAACUGUUUACCAAAAACACAGGUGCCUGCGAAAGCGAAAGCUGAAGUAUAGGUGCUGACGCCUGCCCGGUGCCGGAAGGUUAAGGAGAGAAGUUAGCGAAAGCGAAGCAUCGAACUGAAGCCCCGGUGAACGGCGGCCGUAACUAUAACGGUCCUAAGGUAGCGAAAUUCCUUGUCGGGUAAGUUCCGACCCGCAUGAAAGGCGUAAUGAUUUGGGCACUGUCUCAACGAGGGGCCCGGUGAAAUUGAAAUACCUGUGAAGAUGCAGGUUACCCGCGACUGGACAGAAAGACCCCAUGGAGCUUCACUGCAGCUUGAGAUUGAAUCCCGGUGACAGAUGCACAGGAUAGGUGGGAGGCGCCGAAGCAUUGCCCUAGGGCGGUGCGGAGCCGAUGUUGGGAUACCACCCUUCUGUUGCUGAGAUUCUAACGCGAGGAGUAACGACCCUGCGGACCCUCUCAGGCAGGCGGUUUGACUGGGGCGGUCGCCUCCGAAAGAGUAACGGAGGCGCCCAAAGGUUCCCUCAGGCCGGACAGAAACCGGCCGAAGAGUGCAAAGGCAGAAGGGAGCUUGACUGCGAGACCAACAAGUCGAGCAGGGACGAAAGUCGGGCUUAGUGAUCCGGUGG